rnacentral:lncRNA from 1 species
UUAGGAGCAGGAUGAUCACCCUAGGGAGCACCCAUUGCCCACAUAUGUGGGUAUAGAUGUGCUCCCACUGACAGCAGAAUUCCAUUAAAAAUAUUCUUUUGAUUAUGAAGAAUAAGUCAAAAUGGCAAAACUUCAUGAUAACAGCCAGGUCUAUUUCUUAUACAAAGGAAAAAAAUAUUGAAGAUUUGCUGAAAAAGGAAAAGAAGGCAGCUUAAUGGGAACUACUUUACAAAAAUGUAAAUUACUCACCAGUGAUUACCAGGAUCAUGAGGACCUACUAACAUGACUGUCAUGUAAGGUGGAACAAAUUCAUCCUUGUAAAAAGGCAGAGACAAAAUUGAGGUGAGAAUCUUCUGGCACCUGGGAUACUGUCAUUUUGGGACGGGGUCAGUGAAGGAUGUGCAUCAGAGGCAGUGAGUUGGCAGGGUGGAGCUCAAGUUGGUAUGGGUGAGGAAUAAUCGGGAGGCUGUGGAAAGUGUCUCAGUGAAGGGGGAUGAGUUGAGAGGAGCGAUGGUGGGUGGUGGUAGGAACAGAUGGGAGACAGAUUUCAGAGUAGGAAGGACCCCUCUUUAUAAGGGGAAGAAGAAUGUGGAAGGAACACCAGUUCCAGGGGCCUCUUCCCAGGCUAGAGUUCUUUCUUACAUAUUGCGUUGCUUUGUCAUAGAAUUGUAACAGGGGUUCACUUGAUGCUUUGAUGAGAUUCUUUGUGGUUUUGAAACUUACAUGUUUUUUUUUUUUUUCCUUUUUCCCAGGCUUCUUUUCCCUGACCUUCUCCCUGGUCUUCUUUUCCCUGAUUUUCUUCUGCCUGAUCUCUUCCCUCAUUUUCUCUGAAUCACCUCUAUAAAAACCCCCUGUUCCUGCUAGUGGGAAGAAUCACAGCCUUUGAGACAGGAGUCCCCUGUGUUUCUUCUCCUUUGCUAGCAAAGCAAUAAACUUUUUCCUUUUUUCUCAAAACCA